rnacentral:rRNA from 1 species
GAGGCAUCUUCUUUCGGCCAAAGGAGGCGACUCCGGAGACGGAUGGGCAUGCGUGACAUUAGCUUGUUGGCGGGGUAACGGCCCACCAAGGCGACGAUGUCUAGGGGUUCUGAGAGGAAGGUCCCCCACACUGGUACUGAGACACGGACCAGACUCCUACGGGAGGCAGCAGUGAGGAAUAUUGGUCAAUGGGCGAGAGCCUGAACCAGCCAAGUCGCGUGAAGGAUGACGGCCCUACGGGUUGUAAACUUCUUUUGUCAGGGAGCAAUUGGGUCCACGCGUGGGCUUAGCGAGAGUACCUGAAGAAAAAGCAUCGGCUAACUCCGUGCCAGCAGCCGCGGUAAUACGGAGGAUGCGAGCGUUAUCCGGAUUUAUUGGGUUUAAAGGGUGCGUAGGCGGAAUAUCAAGUCAGCGGUAAAAAUUCGGGGCUCAACCCCGUCGUGCCGUUGAAACUGAUGUUCUUGAGUGGGCGAGAAGUAUGCGGAAUGCGUGGUGUAGCGGUGAAAUGCAUAGAUAUCACGCAGAACUCCGAUUGCGAAGGCAGCAUACCGGCGCCCAACUGACGCUGAAGCACGAAAGCGUGGGUAUCGAACAGGAUUAGAUACCCUGGUAGUCCACGCAGUAAACGAUGAAUGCUAAUUGUCCGGAGGGAUUGACCUCUGGGUGAUACAGCGAAAGC